AGUGAACGCUGGCGGUAGGCCUAACACAUGCAAGUCGAACGGCAGCACAGGAGAGCUUGCUCUCUGGGUGGCGAGUGGCGGACGGGUGAGGAAUACAUCGGAAUCUGCCCAGUCGUGGGGGAUAACGUAGGGAAACUUACGCUAAUACCGCAUACGACCUUCGGGUGAAAGAGGGGGAUCGCAAGACCUCUCGCGAUUGGCUGAUCCGAUGUCGGAUUAGCUAGUUGGCGGGGUAAUGGCCCACCAAGGCGACGAUCCGUAGCUGGUCUGAGAGGAUGAUCAGCCACACUGGAACUGAGACACGGUCCAGACUCCUACGGGAGGCAGCAGUGGGGAAUAUUGGACAAUGGGCGCAAGCCUGAUCCAGCCAUACCGCGUGGGUGAAGAAGGCCUUCGGGUUGUAAAGCCCUUUUGUUGGGAAAGAAAUCUUUCAGGCUAAUACCCUGGGAGGAUGACGGUACCCAAAGAAUAAGCACCGGCUAACUUCGUG
rnacentral:rRNA from 1 species